CCCUUAGAUGUUCUGGGCCGCACGCGCACUACACUGAUCGGUGCAACAAGCAUCCGUCCUUGGCCGACAGGCCCGGGCAAUCUUUGAACGCCGGUCGUGAUGGGGAUAGACCUUUGCAAUUUUUGGUCUUCAACGAGGAAUUCCUAGUAAACGCAAGUCAUCAACUUGCAUUGAUUACGUCCCUGCCCUUUGUACACACCGCCCGUCGCACCUACCGAUUGAAUGGUCCGGUGAAACCUCCGGAUUGGCGCGUGCCCUCGGGCGCCGCCGAGAAGUUGGUUAAACCUUACCAUUUAGAGGAAGGUGAAGUCGUAACA
rnacentral:rRNA from 1 species